rnacentral:rRNA from 1 species
GAUGAACGCUGGCGGCGUGCCUAAUACAUGCAAGUCGAGCGAACGGACGAGAAGCUUGCUUCUCUGAUGUUAGCGGCGGACGGGUGAGUAACACGUGGAUAACCUACCUAUAAGACUGGGAUAACUUCGGGAAACCGGAGCUAAUACCGGAUAAUAUUUUGAACCGCAUGGUUCAAAAGUGAAAGACGGUCUUGCUGUCACUUAUAGAUGGAUCCGCGCUGCAUUAGCUAGUUGGUAAGGUAACGGCUUACCAAGGCAACGAUGCAUAGCCGACCUGAGAGGGUGAUCGGCCACACUGGAACUGAGACACGGUCCAGACUCCUACGGGAGGCAGCAGUAGGGAAUCUUCCGCAAUGGGCGAAAGCCUGACGGAGCAACGCCGCUUGAGUGAUGAAGGUCUUCGGAUCGUAAAACUCUGUUAUUAGGGAAGAACAUAUGUGUAAGUAACUGUGCACAUCUUGACGGUACCUAAUCAGAAAGCCACGGCUAACUACGGG